rnacentral:rRNA from 1 species
CGCAUACGUCCUACGGGAGAAAGCAGGGGACCUUCGGGCCUUGCGCUAUCAGAUGAGCCUAGGUCGGAUUAGCUAGUUGGUGAGGUAAUGGCUCACCAAGGCUACGAUCCGUAACUGGUCUGAGAGGAUGAUCAGUCACACUGGAACUGAGACACGGUCCAGACUCCUACGGGAGGCAGCAGUGGGGAAUAUUGGGCAAUGGGCGAAAGCCUGAUCCAGCCAAGGCGCGUGUGUGAAGAAGGUCUUCGGAUUGUA